CGUGCUAGUUGGGAAGGUAGCGGCAUCCUGUAACCAUAAAUCCGCUAUAUUUGGAAUGAAUUCCCGACCGAGGGCGUCUUCUGUGGGGCUUGCCCACAAUAAGAGGUGUUGAACGAAGGGUUCUUGCGCAACAUAAAUCUUACGAACCUCGUCAGGUCCUGGCGGAAGCAGCGAUAAGUAUGUAUUUGUGUGUGCCGCGAGGGUGCCGUUCGGGAGCUGUCUGUUGUGGUAACACUUAUAGAUGCCGCACGGAGUCGGGUGCA
rnacentral:SRP_RNA from 1 species